AUUGAACGCUGGCGGCAUGCCUUACACAUGCAAGUCGAACGGCAGCAAGGGGCAACCUGGUGGCGAGUGGCGAACGGGUGAGUAAUGCAUCGGAACGUACCUUUCAGGGGGGGAUAACGUAGCGAAAGUUACGCUAAUACCGCAUAUUCUGUGAGCAGGAAAGCAGGGGAUCGCAAGACCUCGUGCUGAUUGAGCGGCCGAUGUCAGAUUAGCUAGUUGGUGAGGUAAAGGCUCACCAAGGCGACGAUCUGUAGCGGGUCUGAGAGGAUGAUCCGCCACACUGGAACUGAGACACGGUCCAGACUCCUACGGGAGGCAGCAGUGGGGAAUUUUGGACAAUGGGGGCAACCCUGAUCCAGCCAUGCCGCGUGAGUGAAGAAGGCCUUCGGGUUGUAAAGCUCUUUCGGCCGGGAAGAAAUCGCACGGGCUAAUACCCUGUGUGGAUGACGGUACCGGAAUAAGAAGCACCGGCUAACUACGUGCCAGCCGCCGCAGUAAGAC
rnacentral:rRNA from 1 species